rnacentral:rRNA from 1 species
UUGGUAGUCCCACNCCGUAACCGAUGGGUACUAGGUGUUGGGGGGCUUGACCCUCGGUGCCGUAGUUAACGCGUUAAGUACCCCGCCUGGGGAGUACGGUCGCAAGGCUGAAAANUCAAAGAAAAUUGACGGGGGCCCGCNCNAGCGGUGGAGUAUGUGGUUUAAUUCGAUGCAACGCAAAGACCCUUACCCAGGCUUGACAUCCUGCGAAUGCCCAAGAAAUUAGGCAGUGCCCUUCGGGGAAUGCAGUGACAGGUGCUGCAUGGCUGUCGUCAGCUCGUCCCGUGAGGUGUUGGGUUAAGUCCCGCAACGAGCGCAACCCCUAUCCUUAGUUGCCACCAGGUAAUGCUGAGCACUCUAGGGAGACUGCCCGGGUUAACCGGGAGGAAGGUGGGGACGACGUCAAGUCAUCAUGGCCCUUACGCCUGGGGCUACACACGUACUACAAUGGUGCAUACAAAGGGUUGCGAUACCGUGAGGUGGAGCUAAUCCCAUAAAGUGCAUCCCAGUCCGGAUAGGAGUCUGCAACUCGACUCCUUGAAGUCGGAAUCGCUAGUAAUCCCGGAUCAGCAUGCCGGGGUGAAUGCGUUCCCGGGCCUUGUACACACCGCCCGUCACACCACGAAAGNNGGUUAAACCCGAAACCAGUGAGCUAACCAGCAAU